CAGCAGCCACGGGAAUACGAAGGGUGCAAGCGUUAAUCGGAAUUACUGGGCGUAAAGGGCUCGCAGGCGGUUUCUUAAGUCUGAUGUGAAAGCCCCCGGCUCAAUCGGGGAGGGUCAUUGGAAACUGGGAAACUUGAGUGCAGAAGAGGAGAGUGGAAUUCCACGUGUAGCGGUGAAAUGCGUAGAGAUGUGGAGGAACACCAGUGGCGAAGGCGACUCUCUGGUCUGUAACUGACGCUGAGGAGCGAAAGCGUGGGGAGCGAACAGGAUUAGAUACCCGCGUAGUCCCUGUCUCUUAUAC
rnacentral:rRNA from 1 species